rnacentral:rRNA from 1 species
CCUACGGGAGGCUGCAGUGAGGAAUAUUUCUCAAUGGACGAGAGCCUGAACCAGCCAAGCAGCGUGAAGGAUGACUGCCCUAUGGGUUGUAAACUUCUUUUAUAUGGGAAUAAAUUGUUCCACGUGUGGGAUUUUGUAUGUACCAUAUGAAUAAGGAUCGGCAAACCCCGGUCCAGCAGCCGCGGUAAUACGGAGGAGCCGAGCGGUGUCGGGAUUUAUUGGGUUGAAGGGGAGCGUAGGGGGAUUGUUAAGUCAGUUGUGAAAGUUUGCGGCUCAACCGUGAAAUUGCAGUUGAAACUGGCAGUCUUGAGUACAGUAGAGGUGGGCGGAAUUCGUGGUGUAGCGGUGAAAUGCUUAGAUAUCACGAAGAACUCCGAUUGCGAAGGCAGCUCACUGGACUGCAACUGACACUGAGGCUCGAAAGUGUGGGUAUCAAACAGGAUUAGAUACCCCUGUAGUC